rnacentral:lncRNA from 1 species
CAAGGGGAGGCUUCGUUCCCUGGGGAUUGCUUCUGUGCAGAUAAGCAAAAUGACGGAGAGUGGCCACCACAAAUUGGCUCCUUCUUCCAGCUUUAAACGGGAUAAAUGAACUUUAAAUAACCUUUGAAGUGAUCCCCCUGGAAGGAACAGAGUGUUCCCUGUGAAAAGGCGCUGAAGUCAGUUCAUGUGCUGCACACUUUUGGCUUCCCACUUCCCACAGGAGCACAUCAGAAGACAAGGAUAGCUGGGAGUGCAGCGAGUCCAGCAAUUAUUAGAACCACCUGAAAGCUU